CACGGGUCUGGCGGACGUGCCGUCGGCUCGCUGGCCUUGCUGCUACGGCGCGCGCCCGCGCCUCACGUGGAAACACCGUUGGCAGAACAUUAACUACCAGUUCUUGGGCAAGAGGAAGAGACACCUAGUUCCCCUGCGUCCGUGAGAACUGGGAUUUGGGGACACAGGCUUCAGGCUUUUCACAUGAUGAUCCCAAAGCAGACUUGUGCAGGUUGAGCAGAAAGCUGGCCUGGGACUGGCAGUACUGCGUGAUCCACUGUCCCCUCUCUAUGGAUGAAGAAUAUCUACCUUUCCUCUCCCUCCUGGAGUCUCUGAGUUCCUGUCCUUCAUGCCCCC